UACGGAGGGUGCAAGCGUUAAUCGGAAUUACUGGGCGUAAAGCGCGCGUAGGCGGCUAGAUAAGUCGGAUGUGAAAGCCCCGGGCUCAACCUGGGAACUGCAUACGAUACUGUCUGGCUAGAGUAUGAGAGAGGGAGGUAGAAUUCCACGUGGAGCGGUGAAAUGCGUAGAUAUGUGGAUGAAUACCGGUAGCGAAGGCGGCCUCCUGGCUUAAUACUUACGCUGAGGUGCGAAAGCGUGGGGAGCAAACAGG
rnacentral:rRNA from 1 species